UUUUAUUUUGAAUAUUACAUCACAUUCAAACCAUGCAGGUCAAGACUCAACUAGAAGUAUUAUGUAGUCUAUAAUUAUAUGGAUCAAAAAUUUAUUGGAAUCUACUUUGAUGCUUAGAGUUGAAGUUCAAUCUAAAAAUAUUAAUUUCCACUCGGGAGACUAUACCCUUAAUCCAUGAAAGAGAUUAAAAAACAUUCAUUAGUCAUUACUUGGCUAAGGACAAUGAUUUAAAUCAUGUUGGUGUAUCAAUUUAAAAAAAAAAAAUACCGUAUACAUAAAAAAAAAAUCUCUCGAAUAUUAAUGUGAGCAAGAUUUGAGCUCAAUAUUUUUAUACCACCUAAACAAGCAUUUGAUAUGAUUAUUUUUAAAAUUUAUAUCAUUAUAUUUUAAAUAAAGUGUUUUGUUAUAUUAUGUCUCGUAAAAGAAAUGAUUAUUAGAAGAUUAUUUCUUUAAAAGAGUGAAAAUGCUUAAAACACUUUUUAAAAUUGCUCAUUUAGUUUUCCUUUUCUUCAAAACUAAAAUGAAAUGAAUUCAAAAAUCCAAACGAAAUAAAUGGGUGCCCGAAUCACAUGGGCAUUUAAAGGAUUUAUCAUAUGAAUAUACUUUUCUUUUUUUUCUUUUGGGAAGUGAAUAUACAAAAUUAAGAAAGAUGUAGAAAAAUCCAAUUUUAACUCUGCAAAAAGCAACAGUGAGUAAAAGCUGUCGGUAAGACCGUUGACGGCCCUGACCGAACACGCAAUCUUUUCCCCAAUCCAAACAAAACAAAAAGCUAACGACUUCAUGUUCACACUCUACUUUUCUAAUCUUUUGACCGUUCGUUUAAAAUUCUAUCAUCAUCCGACGGUAAGAGCUAAGAUAUUAUGGCCCACGGAAUGACAUGGCAAUCCGCUCUGAGUCAUUGAAUCAAUGGCGUAUCUAUGAUUAUACAUAGGUGAUCGUAAAAUGAUACGACAGCGUUUGGUUUCUGUCAUCUUCUUUAAAAGUUCCCAAACUACAGGCGCCUAGAUUUCGAUGACUGACACGGAGACUGGUCCUGUUGUUCAUGUUGAAUGUUCAAUUGCCGCUGACCAACAAUAAAAUAGAAAGACUGUAAACUUGAUCAAACUGAAAUUUUAGAUAUUUUCUAUUACAUUAGUCAGGAAAUUAAAAAAAAAAAAUCCUAAUUUGCUGAUAAUUAUCAUUUUGUAGAUAAAGUUAGAUUUUAUAUGAACUGCAUGAAAGUACAUCCCGACGAUAAAAUUUAUUAUGUAAUGUUCAAAUAAUAAUAAUAAUAACAAAAAACAAUACAAAAGGUACUACAAUAUCUAUCAAAGAUUAAGGACCUAUUAGAUACAAAAAAAUGAGAAACUAGUUCUUAGAUAAGAAUAUGUACAAACUUGGGGACAGCUAACGGGUUAUCACUGAUCCCGUAAUUCUAUUUCAUUUUUUAAAAUAAAACACC
rnacentral:lncRNA from 1 species